rnacentral:rRNA from 1 species
UACGAAGGGGGCUAGCGUUGUUCGGAAUUACUGGGCGUAAAGCGCGCGCAGGCGGCUACCCAAGUCAGUGGUGAAAGCCCGGAGCUCAACUCCGGAACUGCCAUUGAAACUGUUUAGCUUGAGGAUGAGAGAGGUGAGUGGAAUUCCCAGUGUAGAGGUGAAAUUCGUAGAUAUUGGGAAGAACACCGGUGGCGAAGGCGGCUCACUGGCUCAUUACUGACGCUCAGGCGCGAUAGCGUGGGGAUCAAACAGG